rnacentral:rRNA from 1 species
UCCCGUCAAAUCAUUURAGUUUUAACCUUGCGGCCGUACUCCCCAGGCGGUGUGCUUAACGCGUUAAGCUUUGCGCCACCGAUCCGCUACGCGGACCGACGGCUAGCACACAUCGUUUACGGCGUGGACUACCAGGGUAUCUAAUCCUGUUUGCUCCCCCACGCUUUCGCGCCUCAGCGUCAGUGCCGAGCCAGAUGGCCGCCUUCGCCACCGGUGUUCUACCCAAUAUCUACGAAUUUCACCUCUACACUGGGUAUUCCGCCAUCCUCUCUCGGACUCCAGAAAGACAGUUUUAAAGGCAGUUCCCAGGUUGAGCCCGGGCCUUUCACCCCUAACUUGCCGUCCCGCCUACGCGCCCUUUACGCCCAGUAAUUCCGAACAACGCUUGCCCCCUCCGUAUUACCGCGGCUGCUGGCAUGGAGUUAGCCGGGGCUUCUUCUACGGCUACCGUCAUCAUCUUCACCGUUGAAAGAGCUUUACAACCCUAAGGCCUUCUUCACUCACGCGGCAUGGCUGGAUCAGGGUUGCCCCCAUUGUCCAAUAUUCCCCACUGCUGCCUCCCGUAGGAGUCUGGGCCGUGUCUCAGUCCCAGUGUGGCUGAUCAUCCUCUCAGACCAGCUACGGAUCGCAGGCUUGGUAGGCCGUUACCCCACCAACUACCUAAUCCGACGCGGGCCCAUCCCAGGGCGAUAAAUCUUUCCCUCAUAAGGCGUAUAGGGUAUUAGCCGCCGUUUCCAGCGGUUAUUCCCUACCCCAGGGCAGGUGCCCACGCGUUACUCACCCGUGCGCCACUCUCCACCCGGCCGAAGCCAGGCUUCCCGUUCGACUUGCAUGUGUUAGGCCUGCCGCCAGCGUUCGUUCUGAGCCAGAAUCAAACUCU